AACGUAGGGUGCGAGCGUUGUCCGGAAUUAUUGGGCGUAAAGGGCUCGUAGGCGGUUUGUCGCGUCGGGAGUGAAAACCAGGUGCUUAACACCUGGCUUGCUUUCGAUACGGGCAGACUAGAGGUAUUCAGGGGAGAACGGAAUUCCAGGUGUAGCGGUGAAAUGCGUAGAUAUCUGGAGGAAUACCGGUGGCGAAGGCGGCAUCCUGGACCGACAUUGACGCUGAGGAGCGAAAGCUAGGGGAGCAAACGGG
rnacentral:rRNA from 1 species